rnacentral:misc_RNA from 1 species
GAUGAAGAACGCAGCGAAAUGCGAUAAGUAGUGUGAAUUGCAGAAUUCAGUGAAUCAUCGAAUCUUUGAACGCACAUUGCGCCCCUUGGUAUCCCGAGGGGCAUGCCUGUUCGAGCGUCAUUUCACCACUCAAGCCUGGCUUGGUGUUGGGCGACGUCCCCUUUGGGGACGCGCCUCGAAACGCUCGGCGGCGUGGCACCGGCUUUAAGCGUAGCAGAAUCUUUCGCUUUGGAAGUCGGGGCCCCGUCUGCCGGAAGACCUACUCGCAAGGUUGACCUCGGAUCAGGCAGGGAUACCCGCUGAACUUAAGCAUACAAUAAGCGGAGGA